AGCCGGGUUCCAUGCGACAAAAAAUCACGAACCCCGCCAGGUCCGGGAGGAAGCAACGGUAGUGAAUCUUUUUGUGUGUGCGGGUCGCCCGGCUAUC
rnacentral:SRP_RNA from 1 species